GCUUGUUGGCCGCUGCAAUUGGACAGCCAGAUAAACUUCGGUGGGUAUUUCUAUUAGAACUGACGUGGCCUCUUCCGUUACAACCCGCGGUCGGACAUUUCAGGAUCGUCUCAUGCAUCGCCAGUACUACAACUGAUGCUCCAUGGACCACUUGAGCAACGCAGCUGAAGAUACCUAGAGGAGACGUAAUCGGGCCUACCGUAAGACCGUAGACGUAAUUGGGCGUUUUUUAACUUUUCUACCGAAUCUAAACGACACCUCACCAACAGUUUAGAGCGGAGCAUUGCGAAUUCACGCCUCGCGCCAUCGCGCCUUCAAUUUUUCAGACGCAACACGGACAUCCAUCAAGUACGAAUAGUUGUACCUCUGCGCCGUCAUCAACGUGCGUCGUUUCCCUUGCUCUUUUCCUAUAUAAUGUGUUUUUAUAGCUCAGCUAGUCGCACAGGUUUCUUUUUUUCAACACUUCAAAGUCGGAAUAAAUUAUUCGUUUUGUUAAAAUGCAA